rnacentral:rRNA from 1 species
UACGGGGGGAGCAAGCGUUGUUCGGAUUUACUGGGCGUAAAGGGCGCGUAGGCGGUCGUGACAAGUCACUUGUGAAAUCUCCGGGCUUAACUCGGAACGGUCAAGUGAUACUGUCGGACUAGAGUACAGAAGGGGCAACUGGAAUUCUCGGUGUAGCAGUGAAAUGCGUAGAUAUCGUAAGGAAGACCAGUGGCGAAGGCGAGUCUCUGGACAGCAACUGACGCUGAGGAGCGAAAGCGUGGGGAGCGAACAGG